UACGUAGGUGGCAAGCGUUGUUCGGAAUUACUGGGCGUAAAGGGCUCGUAGGCGGCCAACUAAGUCAGACGUGAAAUCCCUCGGCUUAACCGGGGAACUGCGUCUGAUACUGGAUGGCUUGAGUUUGGGAGAGGGAUGCGGAAUUCCAGGUGUAGCGGUGAAAUGCGUAGAUAUCUGGAGGAACACCGGGGGCGAAGGCGGCAUCCUGGACCAACACUGACGCUGAGUGAGCGAAAGCCAGGGGAGCAAACGGG
rnacentral:rRNA from 1 species